ACACGGGAAAGGAGGUGAUCCGAGAGUGAAUUCUUAUCGGACGCGUGAGGUGACUGCCCGCUAGUCGCCCGUCAGCAACUACGGACGGACCGCCGUCUCGCAGGUGCCCGGGCACAGCGAGAACCAGGCAGUCACCGAUGAGCCCGCGGGGCGCACCCUCGUCCAGUGUGCACGUUCGGCCCAGCCGAACAGCCCGCGGGC
rnacentral:sRNA from 1 species